AGAGUGGGACUGCGAAUGGCUCAUUAAAACAGUGAUAGUUUAUUUGAUGGAUUUCAGAUGGAUAACCGUAGUAAUUCUAGAGCUAAUACAUGGCCAGUGUGUAUUAGAUAUCGCCCCUGUGGGAACAACGAUACACCCAUACCGUAUCGGGAGAUACGGUGCAUCAUUCAAGUUUCUGCCCUAUCAGCUUUCGAUGGUAGUGUAUUGGACUACCAUGGCGUUAACGGGUAACGGAGAAUUAGGGUUCGAUUCCG
rnacentral:rRNA from 1 species